rnacentral:rRNA from 1 species
CGAACGGGUGAGUAAUACAUCGGAACGUGUCCGCUCGUGGGGGACAACCAGCUGAAAGGUUGGCUAAUACCGCAUGAGUUCUACGGAAGAAAGAGGGGGACCCGCAAGGGCCUCUCGCGAGCGGAGCGGCCGAUGACUGAUUAGCCGGUUGGUGAGGUAACGGCUCACCAAAGCAACGAUCAGUAGCUGGUCUGAGAGGACGACCAGCCACACUGGGACUGAGACACGGCCCAGACUCCUACGGAAGGCAGCAG